rnacentral:rRNA from 1 species
UUCCGGUUGAUCCCGCCGGACCCCACUGCUAUCGGGAUAGGACUAAGACAUGCUAGUCGUGCGCUUCAGCCAACACGAAGCGCGGCAUACAGCUCAGUAACACGUGGCUAAUCUGCCCUUGGGACAAGAACAACCCCGGGAAACUGGGGCUAAUUCUUGAUAGGCGAAGAACUCUGGAAUGAGUCUUUACUUAAACAGUUUAGAGUUAUGCUCUUUAAACCGCCCAAGGAUGAGGCCGCGACCGAUCAGGUUGUUGGUGAGGUAAUGGCUCACCAAGCCUUUUACCGGUGCGGGCCGUGA